rnacentral:misc_RNA from 1 species
CCCUCCUCCCUCACGUCUCGCCCACGUCGGAGUUACGGGCAAGAAACCCAUGGAAGGACGGCGGUGGGAACCAUCCAACGCCUCCUCGGUCAAAUCCGGUAAUUGCAAGUAGGGAAACACAUCUCUCCUCCUCCCUUCUCCCCUCCUCCCUUUCCUCCUUGUGCCAGCAACCUCAUCGCCGGUGUGAGACAUCGGUCGUCAUCGCCGCCGUCAAAUCCGGCCACCUCGGUGCCGGAUCCGGUCCUCCUGGUGUCGACACUUCGUCCCGGAGCUCUACAUGUGAUGGCACUCAUGGCGCCGCGGCGACGGUUCGCACGACGAAGCUCAUGGCAGUGGGCGGAAUCUAGGAUUUAAAGUUAGGGUGGUCCGAUCUUAUAAAAAUCAAUAAAUAAAUGAGUUUGAAUUUCAAGUCCUACAACGUAUAAGAAUCAAAAGAAGC